rnacentral:tRNA from 1 species
AAGAAAUUAGUUUAACAAAAACAUUAAAAUGUCAAAUUAAAAUUACCCUCAAGUAUUUCUUU